rnacentral:tRNA from 1 species
AUUUUUGUAGUUGAUUACAACGGUGGUUUUUCAGAUCACAAGUCUCUUUGGAGCAAAAAUA